GCGCGGGCGGCCUUCCCGCCCGUGCCCUGUGGUGAGCGCGUGGGCGGCCUUCCCUCUGGCACUUCACGCUUUUAGCCGCUGCGUUUUGCCUCAGCCUUCAAACACGCCUUGCUCUACCGAGAUGGAGGUGGCUCACCCUUAGCAGAUGGAAGAUGGCUAUACCUCAAACAGCAUCCAGUUAGUAGCAAGGCAGCAGGAAGACUGAAAGACCACACCGCAACCAUGUGUACGAGCAAAGGAAAAGGCUGGCUGGAGCUCCAGAAGCUGUUGGUCCUCUUCCUGGGGUCAGUGAAGAGCCUGCUGAGUGAUCCGAAGUGAGCUAGUUCCCUUCUGCACGCCUGUUUUUCCAGCUGUAAGAAACAUGAAGGCUGCUAUCACGCACCUACAUACUUUAUCUGGCCACUUCUAAGAACCUGUGGAAACCUGAGAGGAGUGAGCACUUGUAGAGCACUGUGUGACACCAAAAGCAGUGGCAGCCAUGAGGGAUGCUGUGCCAAGGUGCAGUUUCUACUCACGAGUAACAGGUACCGAUCAGAAAGAAAAACUCAGUCACAAGACCUGCCAGUUCAUAUUGUCUUUCCCCGGAUGGUCCCGGUCAAUAAAUGGUAGCCAAUUGCAUUUCCUCUAGUCAUUUAAAUUCCCCAGAUUUGCAGCAACAUCAGAUACUUUGAGAGAGAAUUUUUUUCUUGCAGUAUCUUUCCUUCCCACGUAAUUCAAAGGCGACAUCUAUGCUGCUUCUCUCUUAUCUCUUAGUUGACCUUGUUUUUCAGGGUGUUUUUUUCUACCUGUCUCAUCGAUAUUUUUUUUCCCUAUCGCUCUUAGUACAAAAAUGUAUCAGCACUUUCUUUGGUGCUCACAUACAAAGAAUGGCUACAAAUCUGCACAAGGUCUAUCAAUUUACUACUGCAUUAAUUCCUACAGUGACCUAUCGAUAUUCUAAAUAUGACAACAUGCAAUUUCGUUAUAUUCUGAUGCUACGAAUGCAACUUACAAAAGCUUCAUGCUAUAUGUACACCUAUAAACAAAUUACAGAUCUCAAGCUAUAUAUUAUUUUAAGUAAGGGCACAUUUUAUUCUUUCUCGUGCAGCUAUGUCCCUGGGGAAUAAAGAGGCAAGAUUCAGGUGAUGAGAGACAACAAGAGAAAGGCCUGACUCUCCAUACUAAGCCCUUCAUUGAAUGAAGCUCUAGGCCUUGUUUCAGGGAAUAAAAACCAAAGUAAAUUGUAUUUUGAUGGCUGUUGCUGUCACCACUUACAAGGACAUUUGCAAAUUAAGGCUCACAGACCUACCUGAUGAAAGCAAAUGACAGAAGCAAAUGACACAUUUCACAGAAAUAGCAUCUGCUCAAAACGUUAUGCUUCAUGACCCUAGGAACAGCAAAAUGGCAAUGAUGAUGACACCACUUUUUGAAAUACAGACAGCAGUAUGCUGAACUACAGCAAAAGGAGAGUCCUAUAAAUACAAGAAGAGUCCUUGAUCCCAAAAUACUCCCUCUUUUUGGUAUAAAUUACAAAAAUCACACCAAUUUACCUACCAGUGGCAACCUACGGCCAAUAAGUCCAAUAACCAGUGUCAUUCUCAAAGCAAAGACAAGGGUUUAUCAACCACUGGGACUAAAUGAGCGCGUCUGCCACACACAAACCUGAGUACGUGUUACUUGUAGUAGUGUCCCUAGACCACCCUUCAACAAAAAUACCAGUGCAGCGCUUCCAGCAGAGUCAGGGCUUUAUAAAAUCUAAAAGGCCUAUUUUUUGGGAGUUGAGUAAGUGGUAUUUUGUCACCUCUUGGGAAAAGAAGCUAGAGAGGAACGCUGACUUCAGCACAGGGGAAGAAGCGUCCUACCUCUGCCAGGACAAGUUCGCCGUGCAAAUUGAUUCCUGAGGAUUAUUUUCUUGAAUUCAGCUGAAUUCUUGACCUUCCUGCCGUAGCUCUGAUAACAUUCUUCUACACUUUCAAUGCAAAACAAAAAGUUCACAGCCCCCUGCGUUGUUGAUAACGUUCUCCUGCUCCGCUCCAGUAGUUACGUCCUUUUAUUGCAUAAUGUACUUCUCCUUAAUUGAUGGAUGUUCCCUUCAUUAACCUUUUCCAUUGAAUCGAAAACUAAACGUUACUCACUAUCAAAAAUAUUUAACACUGUGGUUCCUGUUCAACAAGGCAGCAUCAAUUUUUCUUAGUAAACAUUAACAUUUUACAGCCUUUGUCUUUUACUUGCUCACCCAUCAGCCUCUUCAGGGCAAGGACCAGCCUAUUCGUAUACAUAAAACCUUAGAAAUUACAACAGAAAACGAUUCCCCUUAAACAGUUCAGUCAGUCAGGUACGUAUUAUGAAAAAAAAAAAAAAGAAUGCAUUGUGAAACCAAAAUUCAAAAAGUACAAGGGGCUGUAGGCAAAAAUAAGGAAUGUGUUUAAUUGUGUGACGGAAGUGUCGAGACUUCUUAUGCAGAAAUAAAGGUGAACUUAUUUCCAACAUUACAAUGGAAACCAAUCUAUAAUCUUUAGGCUUCAUAUAAUCUAUAGGCUUUCUGUUUGAUCUCAAAACUGGGUAAAGCAGAACAAAAUCUUGAAUUGUGGCAGGUAUCAAAUGCUUUCUAAUGCAAAAGCUUAAAAAACACCCUCUGAAAAUAAUUGCAAGAACUGCUUAAAAUGACACCACUUGGUUACAGUAUUAAUCAGCUGAAAUAAAAUUCCAUUUAUGGAGAAAGUCCCAGCCUCAUGCAGACGCUACUUAAGAAUUUAACAGCGUCUCCGAAGAGACACUGGCGUAAGAGGAGUUCAAAUGCACCCAGGAUUUCUAGCUCCUGUUGCAUUAGGAGACAGAGGCAUUUUAGCUUUAGCCGAGCACCAAGCCAGCCGUAAUUAAUGAAGCUGUCUAAUGGGCUGAGACUUAGCCACGCAUGAAAACCCAACAACAGAUCCUCCUGCGCUCCGUGAAAGCUCAUUUUUCAGGACUAUCAUCGUUAACUCACAGUUGAUUCCCCUGCCCUUCUGCAGAGCCUUGCACUGAGGAGGACCGUAAGCAGGAAAGAUUUUCGUUAACUAACCAAAAUGCAGCACCUUCAGUUUCCUCACUCUGAUUGAACUCAUUAAUAGAUGAUUUACUUAACUCCUGCAGAGCAGCCACACCAGCAUCUGAUCAUAAAACACAGAAUGAUAGGGGGUUGGAAGGGACCUCUGGAGAUCAUCUAGUCCAACCCUUCCAAACAUCCACCAGGUUAGUUCAUUUGCUUCCUUAAAACGCUGUUCACUUCUAAAGACAUUAGACUGCAUUAUUGCAAAGAAAUCCUCCAAACAUUAAUGUUUUUCUUUCGCUUACUGGAUCCAAACCUCAAAUAGUAUGUUUGUGUAAUACAGUGCCUCACCUGCAGGGAACUGGGACAUCUGUCAAAGCAAAGGAAACCUCGAAAGUGAAAAUCCUGUAGAAAAAUAAAGGGAAAAAAACCCACCACAUUGGAAAGCAGCAAAUUAUGUGCAGAAGAUGGUGCCAAGAGAUAACCACAUCCUGAUUUUUCAGACGAUCUUGUUGAAGCCUGCACUGCACGUAGGCCUGGUUUUAUAAUCCAGACCAUCGGCCAGGAAGGGACUCAUCCCAAAGACCUUAAGAUAGAAACGUGGAAGUGCUCCAAGGCUUCUGCCAGAUCACACCAGGACCGGCUGUACUGAUGCACAAACAAGCUAAAUGAGCUUUUUUUUUUCCUUUUGCACUGUUUGGAAAGACCAGACCAUACGUUAUUAUCUUACCCUGUUAACCUGUAUGGACCAACAAGGUAUGGAAUUUUUUUAAAUUUUUCAAGACUUCAGAAGUCUCAUCUAACAGCUUUAAGAGAACGGGAUGAGGAGCCAAAAACUAUGGGCACUUGCAUUUAAUGAAUUUUGUAAUGCCCAGGGACACGUCAGCAAAUUGGGGUGAAACAAAGAGGUACGUUAUGCUGGUAAAUUUUGUGGAGGAUCAGUCAUGAUUCAAACCAUGUCAUUUGAUGUCAGCUCCAAGGGGGCAGGGAAGAAAAGAGGCUGAUAAAGAGAGAUAAUCAUCAGAGGGAAAAAGAAAGGAUACCUCCUUUUAUGCAAAGCCAACCUCCACGGCUGAUGGCAACUCCCUCUGGUCAAGCUGGUUAUCAAGGCGAUCAAAAGGUCAGCUGAAAAAAUUAAACAUUCCCUAAAGCUACAGGGAAUUGCUAAUGGCAUUUUCCUUCCUGCUUGAUAAUAUUUAGGAAAAAAAGAGAAAAAAAACAACAAAAAAAACCUUCCACACCAGUAGAUCAAUACAGCACAUACCAAAUAUAGUUAACUGGGGCUCACAGGCAGUUUGAGUCAUCUGUAGUGAGAUUCCACUAAAAUUUGCAAAAAAAAAUCUAAAAAAGGGUUUCUGUUCAUUUUUAGAAGACAUGCUAAACUAUGGAGUAUUUAGAUUAGGCAGCAAACGGGGCUGUUGAAGCCACACAUUUCCCUUCAGCACAUACCACCUAAUCAAGAAAUAAAGGUGUAUUUUACAAGAUACCUGGAAGUCUUUAGAGUGGACCAAGAAUUUUUGCAAGCACUCUUACCUUAGAGCAUAUAUAGUUGAACAGCCUAAUAGCAUUGUGAUGAAAAAUUCUGCAACUAUAGAAUUCAUUUCUAUAAACAAAGCAAAUAAAUUCUGUU